UCAUUCAUAAUCUUCCUGCGAACACUGUACGGCAGGUCUCCUGGGACUGAGUGACAAAUGAAGCCAGUCUCUGGCAACAGAAAUGUUCUGCCAUUUGCUGCCGUUUGGGAUUCUUUGGGGAUAGUGACUCUAAACCGACAGGUACACUCCGUACAAGGCUCGGACCCUGGGAAACACACCUGAACGACCCCAGAGCACCCAGAGCUACCUCUGU